rnacentral:rRNA from 1 species
CUCCUACGGGAGGCAGCAGUGAGGAAUAUUGGUCAAUGGGCGAGAGCCUGAACCAGCCAAGCCGCGUGAGGGAAGAAGGCGCUCAGCGUCGUAAACCUCUUUAGCCGGGGGACAAAACCUCCUCGCGAAGGAGGCUUGAGAGUACCCGGAGAAUAAGCAUCGGCUAACUCCGUGCCAGCAGCCGCGGUAAUACGGAGGAUGCGAGCGUUAUCCGGAUUUAUUGGGUUUAAAGGGUGCGCAGGCGGACAUUCAAGUCUGCGGUCAAAUUCCGGGGCUCAACCCCGGCCAGCCGUGGAAACUGAAUGACUUGAGUGGGCGAGAGGUAUGCGGAAUGCGCGGUGUAGCGGUGAAAUGCUUAGAGAUCGCGCAGAACUCCGAUUGCGAAGGCAGCAUACCGGCGCCUUACUGACGCUCAGGCACGAAAGCGUGGGGAUCGAACAGGAUUAGAUACCCUGGUAGUCCACGCAGUAAACGAUGAAUNCUGGUUGUUCGGGCCGACUGAGGCCUGAGUAACGUAGUAGGGCGUUAAGC